rnacentral:rRNA from 1 species
AACGAACGCUGGCGGCAGGCUUAACACAUGCAAGUCGAACGCUCCGCAAGGAGAGUGGCAGACGGGUGAGUAACGCGUGGGAACGUGCCUUUUGGUUCGGAACAACUUCGGGAAACUGGAGCUAAUACCGAAUGUGCCCUUCGGGGGAAAGAUUUAUCGCCAAAAGAUCGGCCCGCGUCAGAUUAGCUAGUUGGUGGGGUAAUGGCCUACCAAGGCGACGAUCUGUAGCUGGUCUGAGAGGAUGAUCAGCCACACUGGGACUGAGACACGGCCCAGACUCCUACGGGAGGCAGCAGUGGGGAAUCUUGGACAAUGGGCGCAAGCCUGAUCCAGCCAUGCCGCGUGAAUGAUGAAGGCCUUAGGGUUGUAAAAUUCUUUCGUCGGGGACGAUAAUGACGGUACCCGAAGAAGAAGCUCCGGCUAACUUCGUGCCAGCAGCCGCGGUAAAGUGACUACUG